rnacentral:rRNA from 1 species
UACGUAGGUGGCGAGUGUUGUCCGGAAUUAUUGGGCGUAAAGGGCGCGUAGGCGGUUACUUAAGUCAGGUGUGAAAGCCCCCGGCUCAACUGGGGAGCGUCAUUUGAUACUGGGUAACUCGAGUGCAGGAGAGGAAAGUGGAAUUCCAUGUGUAGCGGUGAAAUGCGUAGAUAUAUGGAGGAACACCAGUGGCGAAGGCGGCUUUCUGGACUGCAACUGACGCUGAGGCGCGAAAGCUGGGGGAGCGAACGGG